GAGCAACCAAAUGCAUAUCCUCCUAUAAAGGCAUACAAAGGGAACCAUUACUUGUUCCUGAACUCUUCCCUAACGGACGGACGGAAAAAUUACUUCUCUGAUAAACGCAUUGCCUUCGAAGAUAGAGACUAUUGUUUGACUUUCGCUUAUUACAUGAACGGUGAGAACGUCGGCGGGCUAUUGGUUUACAUGUAUACGAAACAAAAUGACUUUCAAAAGCAGUUUAACCAACGGGGAAUGUUGGGCAAUGAAUGGCACAUAGCCCGUAUAAACCUACAUCUCAAUCAGCUUACCUACAUUUACUUCCAAGGGUAUAUGAAAACAUCAUUUGGAAAUAUUGACAACAGUUCCAUUGCACUGGAUGAUAUUCAACUCUUGCCACAUCGAUGUCCCUGAACUAUACCAAGAGCAGAACCGUUGUUUAAAGAGCAACAGUGCAUCAGCUUGACAUAAUUUGUGCUUUAUUUUUCAUUAAUCUGUUCAUUAAUUAUUUCCAUUAAUAUUAUCCAUCUAAAUUGAUUGUUUAAUUGUAUUUCAA